CCAGACUCCUACGGGAGGCAGCAGUGAGGAAUAUUGGUCAAUGGGCGGGAGCCUGAACCAGCCAAGUCGCGUGAGGGAAUAAGGCCCUACGGGUCGUAAACCUCUUUUGCCGGGGAGCAAGGGCGGGGACGUGUCCCGGCCCGGAGAGUACCCGGAGAAAAAGCAUCGGCUAACUCCGUGCCAGCAGCCGCGGUAAUACGGAGGAUGCGAGCGUUAUCCGGAUUUAUUGGGUUUAAAGGGUGCGCAGGCGGAGAGUUAGGUCAGGGGUAAAAUUCGGGGGCCCACCCCCGGCGAGCCGUUGAAACUGGCUUGCUAGAGUGGGCGAGAAGUAUGCGGAAUGCGUGGUGUAGCGGUGAAAUGCAUAGAUAUCACGCAGAACUCCGAUUGCGAAGGCAGCAUACCGGCGCCCAACUGACGCUCAGGCACGAAAGCGUGGGUAUCGAACAGGAUUAGAUACCCUCGUAGG
rnacentral:rRNA from 1 species